rnacentral:lncRNA from 1 species
CAAACUUGUCGAGACCAGGAGAAGCAAGGUCAAGGCUUUGGUGGGUGCUUUUGAAACCAUAAUCUCCCUUCAGGAUCAAAGAUCCUCGCCACCAAUUAUUUGGAGAUGAUAACUACGUGCUUUGACAGAAAGAACCUGUAUAUAUUAAUAGCUAAAUCGAGUUACGUAACUGAAGCAGUAGGUGCAGGAUUUCAAGCACCAUUCUGUCUUAUUAUAUAUACUUUCUAAUUGAUUCUAUAUUCUUUGCAAAUGUCAUUGCAACGAUCACUUUAUAUAGCAGGAGGAUUAUAUCACUCAAAAUUGAUUUAAAAGCCAGUUGAUGAGUGCUUAAGACAGACCAACAACAACUACAGCUUAGCCAAAAAUAAGUUGGGGUCGGCUAUAUGAGUCACCACCGACCAUGUUCCCCAUUUAAGUUCAUCUCAGUCUAGUUGUUAUCUGAAGUUUCUACAAUAGCUUUGUAAAGGUGAUAUAUUCUCAUAGUUUGUGUGUAAAUCGGAACAGGGUCGGGCCUCAAAUUUCAUAAGGUAAACCUUCCAUGGACAAAACAGUUAGAAAAAAAUUGGCAAAUGAAGCUCAAUUACCUAGAAGAACCGUAGGAAAAUACUUAGUUAUUCCUUAAACCAGCUUUAAACACUUUAAAUAUGUCGUCUUCAAUCACAAGUCUAACCUGUUAGCAUGAAAAUUUAAAAGCUUUUAAGCACAUUAAUAAUUCAACAGGCAAGAAAGUGGAGAAAAUAGAAGGGAGGAAAAAAGGAGCUUCGCUAAUUAGUUACAGAAUUUUUUGCAGAAAAUAUAGUAUUAAAACAUUAACAUAUGCAAAGCAACGUGAAAGAGACCUUAAACUGGGAAGAGGCACCUCCCAUCUCUUAGCUUUUUGUUUCUUCUUUUGCUUAAUUUUAUUGCUUAGAACAUACAAAAAUACAUCUCUACAAACGGUAUAUCGAAGAUUAUGCCCUCUACCGUUAAAGUUUUCACUGAAUAGGAAAUAAAGAACUAAUUAGCAUACAGGAGAUCACGUCGUUACCCUUGUUCCUGUGUUCAAAUUUCCAAAUUUUAGUAUCAAAGUUUUCAAAUUUCGGACCUAAAACUGUUCCACGACUUACUCAGUUUCACUACUCAGAUUUUCUAUUACUCUCAAACUUAGGUGAUUUCAAAAUAGAUGAGGGUUCCGGGGGAGGAAGAAGACGAAGAGUCUUACCAGUUAUGACGAGACAUCCCCACGUCUGCAACCAAGGAGCGAUUGUCUGAAAAUUGGGAUAAAAUUGAGAUAUUCACUUUCACCCCCCUACGCAACAAGUCCAUAUUUUACCCCUAUACACUUAU